AUUGAACGCUGGCGGCAGGCCUAACACAUGCAAGUCGAGCGGAUGAUGGGAGCUUGCUCCUGGAUUCAGCGGCGGACGGGUGAGUAAUGCCUAGGAAUCUGCCUGGUAGUGGGGGACAACGUUUCGAAAGGAACGCUAAUACCGCAUACGUCCUACGGGAGAAAGCAGGGGACCUUCGGGCCUCGCGCUAUCAGAUGAGCCUAGGUCGGAUUAGCUUGUUGGUGAGGUAAUGGCUCACCAAGGCGACGAUCCGUAACUGGUCUGAGAGGAUGAUCAGUCACACUGGAACUGAGACACGGUCCAGACUCCUACGGGAGGCAGCAGUGGGGAAUAUUGGACAAUGGGCGAAAGCCUGAUCCAGCCAUGCCGCGUGUGUGGAGAAGGUCUUCGGAUUGUAAAGCACUUUAAGUUGGGAGGAAGGGUUGUAGAUUAAUACUCUGCAAUUUUGACGUUACCGACAGAAUAAGCACCGGCUAACUCUGUGCCAGCCGCCGCCGUAAGAC
rnacentral:rRNA from 1 species